rnacentral:rRNA from 1 species
GACGAACGCUGGCGGCGUGCCUAAUACAUGCAAGUCGAACGCACUCUCGUUUAGAUUGAAGGAGCUUGCUCCUGAUUGAUAAACAUUUGAGUGAGUGGCGGACGGGUGAGUAACACGUGGGUAACCUGCCCUAAAGUGGGGGAUAACAUUUGGAAACAGAUGCUAAUACCGCAUAAAACCUAAACACCGCAUGGUGUAGGGUUGAAAGAUGGUUUCGGCUAUCACUUUAGGAUGGACCCGCGGUGCAUUAGUUAGUUGGUGAGGUAAAGGCUCACCAAGACCGUGAUGCAUAGCCGACCUGAGAGGGUAAUCGGCCACACUGGGACUGAGACACGGCCCAGACUCCUACGGGAGGCAGCAGUAGGGAAUCUUCCACAAUGGACGAAAGUCUGAUGGAGCAACGCCGCGUGAGUGAAGAAGGUUUCGGAUCGUAAAACUCUGUUGUUGGAGAAGAAUGUAUCUGACAGUAACUGAUCAGGUAGUGACGGUAUCCAACCAG